rnacentral:rRNA from 1 species
UACGGGGGGAGCAAGCGUUGUUCGGAUUUACUGGGCGUAAAGGGCGCGUAGGCGGGCUCGCAAGUCAGGGGUGAAAUCCCACGGCUCAACCGUGGAAGUGCCUUUGAUACUGCGGGUCUUGAGGGAGGUAGGGGCGUGCGGAACUUCCGGUGGAGCGGUGAAAUGCGUAGAUAUCGGAAGGAACACCGGUGGCGAAAGCGGCGCGCUGGACCUCUUCUGACGCUGAGGCGCGAAAGCCAGGGGAGCAAACGGG